UUUGUUAGUCUCUAAGGUGCCACAAGUACUCCUUUUCUUUGAGCGAUAGCAAAUCUUUUAGAAAGGCAUCCAGUCUUGAUUUAAAGAUUUCAAAUGAUGGAGAAUCCACUAUGUCCCUAAGUCAGUUGUUCUAAUGCUUAAUGAGCCUAACUUAAAAUGUGCACCUUAUUUCUACUUCCAACGUAUCUAGCUUCAGUUUCUAACUAUUGAAUUUUGUCAUGCCUUUUCUGCUAGAUUAAAGACCCAGCUGUUCGCUAUCAGAAGUCUCUUUCCUAUAUAGGAGUUGUAGACCAUGAUCAAGGCAUCUUCCAUUUCAGUAUCAUUGCCUUCCAGAAUACUGUCUCCCAUCUUAUAGAUGCCUCAUGGUAAAGAUAGUGCUUGUUUUAAAGAAAUGCUGGAGAGUUCGAUCUCAACAUUAGCAGGAGGUCCACAACUGACCCCCAGAGCUCUCACCUUUCUGGUGCCCUGCACUUCAGCUGAACU